UAUUAGUUUUGUAAUUAACUCAUAUUUAAUCCUUCUAAUUAGCAUCCGAACAUCCGAUGUGACAGCGCUAAAGUUUAACAUGAUAUCCAAAUGCCCCCUAACUCGCGCGGCAAUGGCGUGGGCCCUACACCAUAUUGAUCUUCCCUUACACGUGGGACCACUGUUAGCCUCCAACGUGUCAGGCGCGCGGCUCGACGGAAACGGACAAACCGAUGAGCUCUCUUUCUUGGUUUCCUUCUCCCUCUUUCCUUUAUCUUCCUUUUGCUUUUCCCAGUUGCCACUCCUUUUUCCCUUUCCUUUCCCAUUCGCAAAGUAGGAUCCGUCAGGGUUAUUGCCGACCAAUAUGGAAGAGUAGCAUACUAAUCAGACUGUGUUUUGGGAUGCAGAAAUCACCUGGCUUCAGGUCUACAGAGCAAUAAAAGAAAGUGCCAAGGCAAGCAUUUUGGUCACCCUCGAAACUCCAUUUGUGGUAAUCUUAAUUGCAAAACCCUAAGGGCUCCUUUGGGAACAGAAAAUCCCGCCGGGUUCCUGUGAUUUCCCUGUGUGGGCUCUCCACGCGAAUUCCGUUCCCAGGCUAAAUUUCCCUGGUAUUUCCCGAAUUCACUUCCUCAAGCCUCACCAAUGUUCAUCGUGUAGACCUUUUUGCAGACUAGAUCAUGUUCCCGAAUUCACUGUUAAUUGGCAUCAAGAUAUUGUGCUAUUGAACGCCGCCGUGGACAUCUCGACCUGCGACACAUCGGCUCCGCAUUCCCGUCUACAACACCGCCGCUCGCCUCAGCCAUCUCCGUCCAGGUGACUGCAAUAUCGCCGCUCCCCUCCCCAUCUCGAUCUACAGGGACAUCUCCACGUCGGCAUCACUCACCAAUGCACCUCCACCUCGACUUCCUCAUCUACCACUCCGGCAGUUCCAGCUCUCAAAGGUCGUCUUCUACGCCAUCUCUCCUCCGGAGUUUAUCUCGCAUGGUCUUUGCAAUUGUUCUCAGAUAUUUGCUGUUUACAGAGCACAGGAGUUUGAGGAAGGCAAAUGGGAGGGAGAUUUUUGCUGUUUGCUCGUCAAUGAAAUAUUUGCUUGUGCUUUUUUACAAUUUGUGGUCUUCGUCAGAACAAACCUAGUAGCACCUUUGUAAUGCUAGUCACAAAACAUGUUUUGUAAGCUCAUUUGAGGUACAGCCGUAGUGUCUCUGACCAGAUCAGGAUUUGAGGUACAACUGCAAACUUUGCACCAAUUUUGCAUAUGUGAAGAAACAAAGAAAAAGAGAGCAUUGGUUUCAGCCAAGAGAGAGGUAGCAGGUAGAAAAACUGAAAUUUGCAGCAAGUAGUUAAACAACUCUUUUUCAUCAGUGAAACAAAUUUUGCUUACACUGUACGCUAUUUGAAUGAGGUGUUGUGACUUCCUUCAGUACAUUGUUGUUUUUCACAUAUGGGUAUAUAUUUGCAUCAAUUGAUUUGUUUUAGACCAUUGCCAGCACUUCCUAUAUUAUUCUAAAAAGUCAUUAGACGCUACAGCUAUAAGUUAUCUGCAGAACUGGUGUUUCAUUUUUGCCUAAUAUUACCUUGUGCACAAUUGUCAUGAUCUUUUAUUAUUUAUCUAAUUGUAGAUGUCUUAGGGAUCACAGCAACGAGGGGAUUCUUGAAGGAUUGACUAGCUUGUCGAGGACAUCGCUUCUCUAAUCAGGUACUGUCAUUACAGUAUGCCUUGGUUAUGUCCGAUCCUAUCAGGUACUAGCUAACUACAAGGAGAUGCUGAGAAUGGCAGAUUCCACGUCCUGUACAUGACACCCGAAAGAGCAACAUCUUUACCCAGCAGGUUUCCUCGGGCAAAUCUCUGACAACGGUGGUAUGAAGAAAACGCCAUGUGCUUUACCAUAUGAUAUUGUGUAGUGUAGUAGCCAUCAAUUCUUAUGCAUCAUCUAGGGCAAGAAGGGUUAUGUAGGACUGAAGUUCUGUAUGAUAACUCUUUGGAGGCAAUGUUGUGCUCAUUUGUCUUCCAGUUAUGGAAAUGUUUUUUUUUCAAUUUGUGGUCAAAUGACUUGCUGUAGACAUACGGUGUACCAUUGCAAUGGCCUGAUGAUUUGGUGGUAGAUCUUGCUUCUUUAUC